CGGACGGGUGAGUAACACGUGGGCAACCUGCCUGUAAGACUGGGAUAACUCCGGGAAACCGGGGCUAAUACCGGAUAAUUCAUUCUCUCUCAUGAGGGGAUGCUGAAAGACGGCUUCUCGCUGUCACUUACAGAUGGGCCCGCGGCGCAUUAGCUAGUUGGUGAGGUAACGGCUCACCAAGGCAACGAUGCGUAGCCGACCUGAGAGGGUGAUCGGCCACACUGGGACUGAGACACGGCCCAGACUCCUACGGGAGGCAGCAGUAGGGAAUCUUCCGCAAUGGACGAAAGUCUGACGGAGCAACGCCGCGUGAGCGAUGAAGGCCUUCGGGUCGUAAAGCUCUGUUGUUAGGGAAGAACAAGUAUCGGAGUAACUGCCGGUACCUUGACGGUACCUAACCAGAAAGCCACGGC
rnacentral:rRNA from 1 species